UCCCUGGUGGCUCAGACAGUAGAGUCCACCUGUGAUGCCGGAGACCCAGGUUCGAUUCCUGGUUUGGGAA
rnacentral:tRNA from 1 species